UACGGAGGGUGCAAGCGUUGUUCGGAUUUAUUGGGCGUAAAGCGCGUGUAGGCGGUUUCUUAAGUCUGAUGUGAAAGCCCUGGGCUCAACCCAGGAAGUGCAUUGGAUACUGGGAAACUUGAAUACGGGAGAGGGUAGUGGAAUUCCUAGUGUAGGAGUGAAAUCCGUAGAUAUUAGGGAGGAACACCGGUGGCGAAGGCGGCUACCUGGACCGAUAUUGACGCUGAGACGCGAAAGCGUGGGGAGCAAACAGG
rnacentral:rRNA from 1 species